CCACCCCGGCGAGACUGUGGGGAGGUGGGUCCCAGGCGAGGCCGAAGAGGGAGAAGUGGGGAGCUGGUUAAAGGAGCCUAUCAAAACGGCGCAAGCGUGCUGAGAGCCUUUGGCGGGGCCCGGAAGUAACGGAGAGAGAGGGGGUGAGCCUCCUGAGAGUCUGGUCCCAACAUAGAGCAGCUUUGAUAACCGACCGAGCGCACCAGAUGUAGAUGGGGUCCGAGUCAGAUCUGAGCUUGGUGGUGCAUGUCUGUAAUCCCAGAACUGAGGAGGUUGAGGCAGGAGAAUGAAUUUUUGAGGCCAGUCUAUACUACAUACUGAGACACUGUUUCAACCUUCCCCAAAUCAAAGUACUGGAGACCAAUCCUGGGGUCUUGUGCACACUAGAAUACAGGCACUGGAAAAUAACAACUUGAGGAAGAAA